CCACCAAUCUUAUCACUAUUCUCCUGUUUAUGUGCUCCCUUCGAGUCCUGGGGAGCCCUCAGCACUUUGAGGUCCUUCUGAUGCAUCAUUUUGCUCUCUCUGCUGCUGUUACCUCACUCCAGCCCUCAGCUAGAAGAAAUAAUGUGAUUUCCUAAAACGUGGGAAUUAGCAAGUCAAGCCCAGAGAAUUAAAACUGCCCGGAGGCUCAGCUGCCCUGAAAGAAUCCAGUAAAACUCCAUCUCAAGCUAGCAAGAAGCGGAACACGGCAUCUAUUUUUGUUAUGACAUCCUUGAGGUCAGCCCAGCAACAGGGAGGGGAAGAAAUUAAAAGCAGCUGCCGUGGCCCUGCGGUGGGAGGGGAGCUGCCAAGCGUGGCCAUCCCUGGUCGGUUCCACUGGGAGAGGAGAGGAGGUCACCAGGCCAUGUUGGUGUGCCACGUUGGGUAUACUUGUCCUUACCAACCUCCUCAACUGUAAGAGCAACCAGAGUAACUGCCCUUCAAAUUUCUGAUAAUGUUGGAAAGAAUUGACUGCUUUGACUUUGGACCCAAACAUUUGCAAGACUGCUCGAUGUUUUAAGGACCUGUAAGGAGGCUGAGGAAUAAGACGUCUGACACAGAGAACUGUGGCUGAAACCUUCCUAAGACUGCUGCCAUUGUGCAAACCAAGUGCACACCAGUAGGAGAGCAGUGCCACAACCGAGCAAUGGCACAAAGCAUCACAGGAGGGGGAGAGAUGGCACCCAGCAGAGUCCAGCUCCAUUAAGUCACGAAUCUGAGCUCCUGGGCAUCCACUCCAGUUAAUAAAUCUGUUGUCACCCGCUGAUGGCUGAAAGCAAGCUUAACAAAACUCUGACUGUGUUCUGAGUUGGAUAUCACAUUGUUCCAUAAGUUGUAAGUAAAGGACUCUGCCUAUUGAACGUCCUCUGUGCGGCCUGGAUUUAUCAUGGAGUCCUCCCUGUAAAAGUGAUGUACUCCUCCCAUGACUGAUGCUGUUUGCACUGACUGGGGGGUAACCCAGGAGCCACACAGUUCCCACUGACAGCUCCACACAUCAGCAUGAGCAGGAGGAAAAUCGGUCCCCUGUGUAUGCUCAAGGUGUAGGAAGAAACGUGCUUCAAAGUACUGCAUAAUGUACAAGCUGGUUCAGCACUGCGGAGAGCUCCCUCAUCCCACCGCCACGUGUGCGCCAUGGAGUGAGUUAGUUCAGCGUAAAUCCUCUUCUUUAGACUCAUUAAAGUGCGCCAAGCCUCUGUAAGAGUCAUUUGACAAACUCCCCUGAGUGGCAAAGUAGUGUUUAUUACGAUUAUUAUUACUAUUAUUAUUUUUCUCUCAGCUCCAUCUGUAAUGUAAACACCAUUAUGUUUUAAUUAUCUGUUUGAAAAAGAGAUUUAAAAGCGAAUCCCGCAGGAACCCGGGCAGCAUACACAAUGGGAUCCCCCUGAGAGCCGCCCGCUGGGUGAGCACAGGAGGCAGUGAUGCUCUGAAGGGAACACAGCUCAGCAGCAUGGCCACCCACACCACCACCCCAUCCCACGGCAGUGGGUCUGAGUGCUCCAGAAGCGUGUUUUGUUCCUCUUGGUGCAUUGUCAACAUUAGGGGGAGGAAAAUGCUGGGGAAAAAACCACCUUUCUCCACCUUUCAUAACGAGAUUGCCACCCAUUUAGCAGAUCAGGGACUCCAAGGAGCAUCAUCCUGGUUGCCAUGGUGCCCAGUCUCAGCCCGGCAGUGCCCAGCGGGAGCUCUGCAGCUGCACAUCACCAGCUCUGCUGGCUCUGCUGCUCCCCUUCUCCUCCCUCCCUCCUCAGCAGCCCUGCCCUGCCACAGCAACAGGGAUCUCUGCACCAAGGACUGUGUUCCAAUGGGCAGCAUUUGGUUUGGAGGGGGACAUUCGGAUUCACCCCAGUAAAGGAAAUGGGAAGGGUAAUUCAGGAAAACAAGACGUGCAGAUGAAUUCAUGAAUUAAAGACACUGCUGAAAGGAGAGGCACGCUGAGGGAAUGAAGUCAGAUCAAAAACAAGACAGGAAUGAAUUGUUGCAAAACCUGAAAAACAUUUCUCUCGCUUCUUAAGCCUGAAGUAAACUCAGCUCGGCGACCCCUUUUUCACACCCUUGCAUCAGGACGAACCCAUUUGCCAGUCCUCCUCCGCAAUGCAAUCACGCCGCUGUUUAAUGUUCUGCAUUUUCCAUUAUCGCUAAUCUGAGCUGAAGGGCAGAGCUCAGGCUGCUCCCAGCCCCUUACCAGCAGCGCUCUGCCUGCGCAAGAGGGAACAGUGCCUGCACAACCCUCACCCUGCCCUCCUCUAAUGCUGAUUGCAGUGCUCAGCAGUGCACGACCGUCUUCAGGACUGCAAAACUCUCCUUCCUGCACUGCAGAGACCUCAGAACUCCCCCAGGAGAUGUGCUGUAACAUCAUGGGACGGCCUCAAAACCAAAGGGCUCCUGAAUAUCCUGCACUGAGGUCCUCCUGCGCUCUGCAAACCCAGAGUUCCUGUGGGAGGAAUGAGGCUGAGAAGACAUGAGAUGAGAAUAUUAACACCCCAGGGUUACCAGAUACAAAAAAAAUUGAUUUUUAAUAACUCUAACCAUCUCUUCAGCUUUCAUUAGUCCCUUCUUUGGCUUUAUGGUGCUGGGCAUGAAGAAUAUGAGGAUUUGAAGAAUUAACUGAGUUAAUGAGGGCUGAUUAUUAAUGUUCAGAGCUCAAUAAAAAAAGGGAGAGAAAUAAAACACAAAAAAUGAGCUGAAAAUAAGGGUGAUCUUUCAUUCCCCCAAAAUGAGAUACACUGAAUUAUUGUUAUAUUUAAGGCACCAAAGGAAUGGAAAUAAAUACCACCCAUUAGCUAUUGAAGAACCUGUGAAACUCAGUGCAAGCAGAUGUCCGAGUCAGAGGAAGAGGGUGCUAAUUAGGAAGCAGCACUGAGGACUGCUGCUGAGGCUUCAGGCCGCCCCUUUGGGGACAGCACGUAGAGCCCUGAGCACUGCAAGCAGCUCAUCAGAGCAGGAGAACCCGCUCUGUAUUUGGAAACCACUUGGAACUCAGCUCAGCUCUAGUGGCUCUAGUGUUUGCUCCAGCAGAAGACCCAUUCCUGGGCACCUUCGAAUACCUGGCCAUGAAUUCCCCUUCUCUAAUGAGUGCUGUGCAGCAGAACCAUUGGUUCUCCCAUGUGUUCAGGUUGCAGAGUCUUCAGGGGAGGAAUUGCCUGUGGAAGUCUGAACUCAGUCCAGUUACAACAACAGCACAGACCUCACAAACAGAAAUCCACACCUUCCUCCAUCCCAGUGCCCUCACCAGCCUCACCCUCACCAGAAAAGGAAAGCACUUCACUUAUCUGCAUAGAAAGAACCACAGAAUUGACUGUCAUUGCGCCUUCGCCAUGGGUGGGAUCGUCCAGGAUUGUCAGGGCUAAUGGUAAUUGAUGUUUCCUUUCACACCUGCUCUCUUUCCUGCUUUAUUAAGCCUCUGCAAACACCGCUGUCUCUGGGGAAGCAGUGGGAGUGGAGGAGGAAACCUAUGGAAGAGAACAAUUCCAGUUGUUCAGCGCAGCGCUUUGCUAAAUUGCAUCCAGCCUCUUUUGCAGAGUAAUAAAGUGUUGUCUGAAAGGAGGCAUGGAGUUUUAAUUUUCUCAUUGUCAGUGGAUGCUGUAAUCACGUAAUUAACAAAGUGCAGGAGAUAGUCACUUAAAGCAAGCCAAGAAAGCCAGCACACAGAGCAGAUGCUUGGGGGAGCAAACAACUUUUAUUUGUGCUCCUCCAGAACUGGAGACCUUUUUAGUACUUAAAAGAUGGAAGAGUCGCAUUUGGAUAACAGCAGUAUCUACAAGGAGGAGAGUGCUUUGUUCUGCUGCUUAUCCCCUUAAACUUCCCAGUUCCAUUCCCCUGCAUUGCCCCACUCCAGCAUGGGUCCUCUAUGGGGUGGAUCCUCACAUCUGAAGUCGUUUCCCACCAACCAGGGGACAUCGAUCUCUGCUUCUUCUCCCACAGCCUCCAGGUUUCUCCCCAUCCCAGCACUCUUCACUGUAUUUAUAUUUGUUGGGGUGUGUUUCAGGGUGAGGAGAUGUCAUCUAUUUGAGGGUGUAACUUUCAUCCUUAGCAGCCAUUGACCAAAAAAAGACAGAGUGGAGGAAGAGAGGUGCUGGUUUUUAUGCAGGAAAUGCCUCCUAAAAUCCGGGAACCUAGCAAACAAUUACAGCAGUGGAAGGAUAGUGGAGAUUUAGAGAUGCAAGAGCGCUGACAAAGGCUAAGCCUGACCCAUUUAUCUCCCAGCCCCUCUCAGAAUAUUUAACAGAAGUGAAGCACCUCGCAAAAGUGGAAUGGGUGAAUUUAAACCAUGGCCUCUUCUGUUCUGGCUUUUUAAUUUCACAUCCCAGGGAUCCUUCCCUCCCCAUCCACAAACGUGGAGUCCUCUUCAUCUCCAGAGAUACAUCACCUGCCUGUCCGCACCUCCACGCUGCUGAACUGGAAAGCUUUUGCUCAGUGGACGUUGCAGCUUUGCUACCUUUAAUUAGGAAGAGACUCCAUCCCCCAGGCUGCAGGCAGGGAACGCUGACGGUGGGAGCACUGUGGGGCCUGGGGAGUUGGUGUGUGGACCAAAGUGAACUGAGUGAAAUAUCGCACAUCCCAGCACUGUUCCUCCUGCUGUUUGCUGCUUUGAAGCUCCUUUGAUUAUCAGACUCCAUUUAAAAGUACUUGUUUGCUUUAUACCUCAUUAACCGAGAAAGAAAUUGCCCAACAGAGGCCAUAAUUUUAUGGUCCUGACCUGUGAAUGCUCUGUACUUAUAUGGCUUGGAGGAAAUCGUCAAGGUUUGCAGUAGUAUUUAUGGUAUGAUGGUGUUUAAGGGCCCCAGCUGAGAAUAAGACCUAGAGCACUGGGUCCUGUGCAGAUACUGUGAAAGGCAUUGUGUGAGAUUCAAGCUCAUGGCUUAAAACUGAGGGAGCAGACGUGCAGUGGGGCUGCAGGAUAAUGUGGGGCUGGAGGGCAGUGUGGGUCUGAGGCUGUUAACGGGCUAUGGGUACCACAGAGCCUGUCUGUGAGCAUUAAAGCAGAGCUGAAUGGAAUACAUCCAUCAUCAAGGCUUCGAUGUGUACUGGGAUUUAAUGGGGAGCAGCGCUCAGAUUAUACAAAGGUUUGAAACUGAGACCAUCAGUGGAACUGCCCCUACAGUCGGUGUUGGUGCUUCUCAGUGCCUCAUUCAGUGUUUUUGGAGCAGGGCCAGAAACCAGACAAAGACCUCCAACAUCUCAUUUUUUUCCCCAUAAGAUCACAUCUGUGCAAAAUUGAUGCCAGGUUCAUACACAAGCACGAACGCACAGGCUCUCUGGAGCGAAUCCCAGUUCAAUAGAAGGGAUGUGAUUU
ensembl:lncRNA